rnacentral:rRNA from 1 species
UACGAAGGGGGCGAGCGUUGUUCGGAUUUACUGGGCGUAAAGGGCGCGCAGGCGGCUCAUUUUGUCAGGCGUGAAAGCCCCGGGCUUAACCUGGGAACUGCGUUUGAUACGGAUGGGCUAGAGUUCGGGAGAGGAGAGUGGAAUUCCCAGUGUAGAGGUGAAAUGCGUAGAUAUCAGGAGGAACACCGGUGGUGUAGACGGCUUUCUGGACCGUAACUGACGCUGAGACACGAAAGCGUGGGUAGCAAACAGG